UUUAGUUGCAUAAAGUCUAUAUUGUAGCAUCCUGGUGUGUAUGUUGAUUCUUGGUAUCACUGCACUUGUAUCCAUUGGGUGAAAGUUUCUCAGCAGUUCCUAUAUUGUAAAGGGCAGGGUAGAAAAGAAAAACAUACACAACUAAACUCAGUGAUGUCUUGCCUGGACCCACAGUCAUUCCAUCAUGCCACCACUCUCGGAAUUUCUGAAGACCACUGAGAAUGUUGCUGUUAUCUCUGCCAUCAGUAGGAAAUGCUGCUAGGAUUUCAAGUGCAGUAACUGGCCCCACACCUUGAAUCCCUGGUGUAUAGUCACUACCAACCAACAGUGCAAGCAGUACCAACUGCUGUCGCUCAAGCUCUGCAGAACAUAAGCCACAUGAGACUGAUGUGUUUUACAGCAGGAGAUAAUAAUCUUGGAAACAACUAAAUAUAUAUGGAUAAAAUCUGGUACAGUAAAGUCUAUACCAAAGCAAAUUUAAUUAUGGUUCAUACUGAUGCAAUAUAAUAUCUACUUUACAUAAAAUUUAACUAUGCAGAUGGCUGGCUUCUGGGUUGUUGCACUGUAUAGUCUGGUAGAAGUUUACUGACGUUUCAGAGGUGCUUGCUUCUUUCUAUUACCAGACAAGGUGCAACAGCUAAGAGGACAGCCGCCUGCACACCUGUCAUGAUGAGAACCUCAAGUCUUACAAAGUUUAUCAGAUUUUUAAAAUACUGCUCAUCAUACAACAAGUUACCACAUAACUUAAAAUACAGUGCCUAUAAAGAUAUACAACUUCCACUUUCAAUAUGAUAUAUAUGUAGUGAAAUAAAAUAAAAAAUAAUCUAUGACUUGGCUGUCUCUAGUAACAAUAGUUUAACCAAAAUUUGUAUCUGCAAGAAAUGAGCACCAAAAGUAAUGAAGGAAUGUAAAAAUGCAACAAAUACAUUGAAAGAUAUUAGUACUCCAAACAUUUUAA